AUUGAACGCUGGCGACAUGCCUUACACAUGCAAGUCGAACGGCAGCAUGAUCUAGCUUGCUAGAUUGAUGGCGAGUGGCGAACGGGUGAGUAAUACAUCGGAACGUGCCCUGUAGUGGGGGAUAACUAGUCGAAAGAUUAGCUAAUACCGCAUACGACCUGAGGGUGAAAGUGGGGGACCGCAAGGCCUCGUGCUAUAGGAGCGGCCGAUGUCUGAUUAGCUGGUUGGUGAGGUAAAGGCUCACCAAGGCGACGAUCAGUAGCUGGUCUGAGAGGACGAUCAGCCACACUGGGACUGAGACACGGCCCAGACUCCUACGGGAGGCAGCAGUGGGGAAUUUUGGACAAUGGGGGCAACCCUGAUCCAGCAAUGCCGCGUGUGUGAAGAAGGCCUUCGGGUUGUAAAGCACUUUUGUCCGGAAAGAAAUCGCACUUACUAAUAUUAGGUGUGGAUGACGGUACCGGAAGAAUUAGGACCGGCUAACUACGUGCCAGCCGCCGCGGUAAGAC
rnacentral:rRNA from 1 species